rnacentral:rRNA from 1 species
AUUGAACGCUGGCGGCAGGCCUAACACAUGCAAGUCGAGCGGAUGAAGGGAGCUUGCUCCUGGAUUCAGCGGCGGACGGGUGAGUAAUGCCUAGGAAUCUGCCUGGUUGUGGGGGAUAACGUCCGGAAACGGGCGCUAAUACCGCAUACGUCCUGAGGGAGAAAGUGGGGGAUCUUCGGACCUCACGCUCUCAGAUGAGCCUAGGUCGGAUUAGCUAGUUGGUGGGGUAAAGGCCUACCAAGGCGACGAUCCGUAACUGGUCUGAGAGGAUGAUCAGUCACACUGGAACUGAGACACGGUCCAGACUCCUACGGGAGGCAGCAGUGGGGAAUAUUGGACAAUGGGCGAAAGCCUGAUCCAGCCAUGCCGCGUGUGUGAAGAAGGUCUUCGGAUUGUAAAGCACUUUAAGUUGGGAGGAAGGGCAGUAAGUUAAUACCUUGCUGUUUUGACGGUACCAACAGAAUAAGCACCGGCUAACUUCGUG